UACGUAGGGGGCAAGCGUUGUCCGGAUUUAUUGGGCGUAAAGAGCGUGUAGGCGGCCACACAGGUCAGCUGUGAAAACUCGAGGCUCAACCUCGAGACGUCGGUUGAAACCGUAUGGCUAGAGUCCGGAAGAGGAGAGUGGAAUUCCCGGUGUAGCGGUGAAAUGCGCAGAUAUCGGGAAGAACACCCGUGGCGAAGGCGGCUCACUGGACCGGUACUGACGCUGAGGCGCGAAAGCGUGGGGAGCAAACGGG
rnacentral:rRNA from 1 species